rnacentral:rRNA from 1 species
CAAUAGCGUAUAUUAAUGUUGUUGCAGUUAAAAAGCUCGUAGUUGGAUUUCUGGUGGGAGCGGCCGGUCCGCCGUAAGGUGUGUACUUGGUUGUCUCCUGUCAUCCUUGUGGGAACUGCUCUGGCAUUAAGUUGUCGGGGUUAGGGAACACAUCGUUUACUGUGAAAAAAUUAGAGUGUUUAAAGCAGGCUUAUGCCGUUGAAUACAUUAGCAUGGAAUAAUAAGAUAGGACUUUGGCGUCUAUUUUGUUGGUUUGCACACCAAGGUAAUGAUUAAUAGGGAUAGUUGGGGGUACUCGUAUUUAAUUGUCAGAGGUGAAAUUCUUGGAUUUAUGAAAGACGAACUUCUGCGAAAGCAUUUACCAAAGAUGUUUUCAUUA